rfam:Ovis aries breed Texel chromosome 1, whole genome shotgun sequence.
UCCCCUAUGGCUCAGCGGGUUAAGAAUCUGCCUGAAAUGCAGGAGACCUGGGUUCGAUCCCCGGGUUGGGAA